rnacentral:lncRNA from 1 species
GUUGUUUACGAACUGUUUGCGUGGUUCCAACUAGACUAAGGUUUAUCACAGCUUAAUUUCUAUGGGGAAAAUAAAACAGAUGGACUUCUGUUGAAACGGUGCCCAUGUAUUUAGCUUGUAUUCAAGAAAUAUCAAGUUUAUUCCUCACAUAUUUUUGUCUCUUACUUCUGCGAGUUUUUUUUUGUUUGCGCGGGAGCAACUUCAAAGUGAGCGAGCUUUGCAAAGCACGACGAUUGCGUUGGUCUGGAGAGCAACACCUGAGGAAACCUGGUAAUUUAGUAGAAGGUAAGAUUGCAAUAAAAGUCUGAUAGUAUUCUGAUAAUAGCUGUCCACCUAACAUCAUCAAAUAUAAGAAACUGUGUUUUAAGAAAACCCUACACUUUUUUUUAAAAUCAUGUUAUCCGUACCGCUCACCCUAUGCGGAACCGGAGCCUAACCGAGCACACAGGGCGUAAGGUCGGAGGGGAUGCACCCAGGACGGAACGCUAGUCCAUCGCAAGGCACCCCAAGCGGGACUCGAACCCCAGACCCACCACAAAGCAGGACCUGGACCAACCCACUGCACCACCGCACCCCCAAAUUAGGGUGUGAUUGUGCUUCAAGACCUCAAGAAGAAUGUGGCUUUUGCAACUGCAGUGUUGUUUGGUCUCAUUAUGCUCUCGACCUGAAGUUCCCCACAAAGUUGUGCUACACUUCUGAGGUUUCAAGUUGUAUAGAAGAGUCUGAGAGGACAAAGUUAUUUUAUUAAGUAAAAUUAUUAGUGCUGUUAUGUUCUGUUUGUUUACAGAGACAUGCAGUUGAAUGUUUAUGCAGGAAUGUGAGGUGUAACUUAUGUUGCUUAAGGUCUUGUUAACAAAAUGUUGCUUAUGAUGUUUGUGACCUUCAUGAUAAAAUAGUUAAUAUGUCAAGCUGUAAAAUGGUUGCGUGUGUAUAAAUCAGCACAUUUUUUACAUAUUGUGGUGCGCAGCGCCGUGGAUUUAGAUUGGGCGAAGAGGGACACGGAGACAGUAUUCAUAACGAACGAUUUAUUCGAACACCAGCACAAGGAAAAUAAUGCUUUCGGUCCGAAGACCCCUUUUCCUCCAGGGCCUGCGCUUGCAGCCACUCUUCCUGACUUGUCUUAGUGCUCCUCAACUCUCUCUAACAGACUGGGAGACACGGUCACCCUACCAUUUUCCCCUUAAGUGCCCCCAGUGGUUACACACACACACACACACACACACACACACACACACAUACACAUUUAACAUUAUCUCCCAUAAUGCAACUAUUUGCAUUUAAACACACACACCCUCCUAAAACAGUAACGCGGGGUCGUUACAAUAUUU